rnacentral:rRNA from 1 species
UGGGGAAUAUUGCACAAUGGGCGCAAGCCUGAUGCAGCCAUGCCGCGUGUGUGAAGAAGGCCUUCGGGUUGUAAAGCACUUUCAGCGAGGAGGAAGGUGGUGAACUUAAUACGUUCAUCAAUUGACGUUACUCGCAGAAGAAGCACCGGCUAACUCCGUGCCAAGCAGCCGCGGUAAUACGGAGGGUGCAAGCGUUAAUCGGAAUUACUGGGCGUAAAGCGCACGCAGGCGGGUUUGUUAAGUCAGAUGUGAAAUCCCCGGGCUCAACCUGGGAACUGCAUUUGAAACUGGCAAGCUAGAGUCUCGUAGAGGGGGGUAGAAUUCCAGGUGUAGCGGUGAAAUGCGUAGAGAUCUGGAGGAAUACCGGUGGCGAAGGCGGCCCCCCUGGACGAAGACUGACGCUCAGGUGUGAAAGCGUGGGGAGCAAACAGGAUUAGAUAACCCCUGGUAGUCCACGCUGUAAACGAUGUCGAUUUGGAGGUUGUGCCCUUGAGG